GCGUGGAUUAGGCAUGCAAGUCGAGCGAGAAGUUUACUUCGGUAAAUGGACAGCGGCGAAAGGGACAGUAAUGUGUAGGUACCUACCCCCCGAUCUGGGAUAGCUGCGGGAAACUGCAGGUAAUACCGGAUAAUGUCUUCGGACCAAAGGUGUGAUUCCGUCAGGGGAGGGGCCUGCAUCCUAUUAGCUUGUUGGUGAGGUAAUGGCUCACCAAGGCAACGAUGGGUAGCGGGUGUGAGAGCAUGACCCGCGUCAUUGGGACUGAGACACUGCCCAGACAUCUACGGAUGGCUGCAGUCGAGAAUCUUCGGCAAUGGGCGAAAGCCUGA
rnacentral:rRNA from 1 species